rnacentral:rRNA from 1 species
AGCAGCCGCGGUAAUUCCAGCUCCAAUAGCGUAUAUUAAAGUUGCUGCAGUUAAAAAGCUCGUAGUUGAAUUUCGGGACUAAUAUGUCGGUCGUGCCUCGGUACGUACUGGUAUUUUUGGUUUCUCCCUUCUGACGAACCUUGAUGUCAUUAAUUUGGUGUCUUGGGAAAUCAGGACUGUUACUUUGAAAAAAUUAGAGUGUUUAAAGCAGGCUCACGCUUGAAUACAUUAGCAUGGAAUAAUGAAAUAGGACGUUUGAUUCUAUUUUGUUGGUUUCUAGGAUCGACGUAAUGAUUAAUAGGGAUAGUUGGGGGCAUUAGUAUCCAAUUGUCAGAGGUGAAAUUCUUGGAUUUAUUGAAGACUAACUACUGCGAAAGCAUUUGCCAAGGAUGUUUUCAUUAAUCAAGAACGAAAGUUAGGGGAUCGAAGACGAUCAGAUACCGUCGUAGUCUUAACCAUAAACUAUGCCGACUAGGGAUCGGAUGAUGUUAAUUUUUUAAUGACUCAUUCGGCGCCUUAC